GGGCCCGUAGCUCAGCCAGGUAGAGCGGCGGGCUUUUAACCCGGCGGAAGUCCCGGGUUCAAAUCCCGGCGGGCCCGCCA
rnacentral:tRNA from 1 species